UAUUGCAGUUUUCCGAGGCGAGGGAAGAUUAUUCUGAAAUAAGGGACGGACGUUACAAAAAGUGGUUACAGGCACGUUGACCGAGUUACAGGCGUGUUUUAUUAUAUGAUGCGCGUCUCCUCAAGCCGGAGUACGGUAUCUCUGCUUAACAAACUGAGAUAUACGGGGAAAAGGGUGUAAACUCGAUUCCCUAUAAAGUUGUUUCGACAGAUGCUGAAGAGCUACCAUCAAACGAGUCAAGUUCAACUCCAAGCAAUUUCCAACAAUUCAUAGAAAGCGAAUGACUGUAAGUACCUCAGAUGACCAGUAAAAAAUAACUUUUUUAGUGAUUUUUUUUAGAAUUGAUAGCUUUACUCUACCCUGCUAGAAGAGCUUUUUCCUGUUUGUUUCUAUCACUUCACUUAUCCGUGUCGCGAAUCUGUACUUUCGCGUUUUCAAACAAAGGUUAACGCGAAGAAUGAAAGAACAGAGAAGCGACACGGAUAAGUGAACUGAUAGAAACAAACAGGUAAAAGCACUGCCAGGUCGAUGGUCAAAAGAUAUAUCUUUUGGGACGUAAUGACAAGCUCCAGUUUUACAAAAAAAUUAGCAUAGUCGCAAUAUCAUUGGUUCGCAGGCCUUUGUUUAAAAAAUAGUUGGGAUACGAGGUGUGAAAUAGCGCACCCGACCAGCAUAAAAGCCGACAGAAAAAUUGUAAAAGGCAGUCUACUGCAACGUACAAUAAAUCCAUAUUCAACACCACAGUCAAUAGCUGUUUCACUACACCUUUUACAUAUUGAAUUGUCAUCCUAAUCUCUGCUUUCUUGAAUGAUUAAUUUUUUUCCGAGGCUAAUAGUAAAUAGUCCAUAAUAAGUUAAAAUGUUUAUCAUUGAAGGUUGAGAAGCUGAUCUUAUCCAAGUCCGUAUUUUAGUCGGUGUUUUUCACAUGUGAUCUUUUGCAUUUUCACCAUCUGUAGUUGUUUUGCAAAGAGGCAACUCUUGUUAUCUUGAUGUCAGAUAAACUUCUCAGUUGCUCUCACAAUUUUCUUCGCAUGAAUUUUUAUUUUUUGUGUUAAGGAUUGAGUACAGCUUGGGGUAAAGACAAAAAUAUUUCAUGACAGCCUAGACUCCCUCAAUCUAUUAUCACCGUAUUCACAAGAAUGGAUGGGGGUGCCUUUUCUUAGGUUGUUUCUUCUUGCUGCCUCAUGGUGAUACCUUGAACACAUGAUUGAUGUUGUUAAGUGGGGUGUGGCUCGUCUCAUACUGUCCAUGCGAACACGGUGAGGAAAAUUUCACACGUGCAGACGUCGAUCGAAGUUACGUAUCACAAACAACUGAGACAAAAUUAUCUCUUGUUUGAAGCAACUGUGUCAAAAUUAUGUCCUGCUUGAAGCAACUGUGACAUAAUUAUCCCCUGCUUAAAAUGUGCGUUUUUAGCCUUGCCAGGCAGUAAGCAGAGUGAAUGCGUGAAAUUUUCCUCAACAUGUGCGCCGGUCUUGAGACUUUACGUAUGUAAGUUAUUAGACCGUUCUUUUUUAGUCUCAUUUACAGUAUUUCGAUAGAGCAUCAUACUUCACACUUACCGAGAAAGGUCUUGAUAGUAGCCGCCCUAAAUGGACGGCUAUUUUCACCAAAAAGAAUAGCCGUGUCCUUCUCUUGUAUGGCAAAUUUUUCCAUCUGAAUGAGAUGGAGUUCAUAUAGACGAGCUGUGCUCUCUCAAAUCUUCAAGCAGAUUUGAUUAUGCAGGGUUUCAUAGCCUACAAAAUUACACAUCCUGUAAAUUAGCUGGAUCAGUGGGGCUUUAACAAUGAUUUAUUAGGCUACCUUUUUAUUUCUAAUGAACUUUUUUGGGAUGGUAAUUAAAUUAUUUACCUCAACUGUCUUCAAACAGUAUUCUCUCAUUUUGAGCAUAUCCUCAAGAUAGAAUGGUGGCACCUUCUUUGCCUCAUAGGGCUUCAUGCCGGCCCUCAUGUCUCUUCUAGAAGGUCGGCGCUUCCUUUUAUUUAGGGAACAUAUCAAUGUCUUGACACCUUUUAAGAAAAUGAUAGAAUUAAAUCUUGAGACCUUUAAAAAAUUGAUGGAAACGGAGGGUACAAAGUGCAGGUUGCAGGCUGUUUUUUUUUUUUUUGGCUUCCUCUAUUUUAUUCAAUUUCUACAGCUCACGUAACGCUCAGAUUCUUUUUUAUAACUAAGCAUAAGCAAUCCCGUGACUUUGCUGCACAUCAACCAAACUUAGGUCAAUUAAUGUAUAAUGUCAGAUGGACAUUAAGUGAAAAAAAUAUGUAUAGGUGGUUACGUCACAGAUCACGUGACCGUGUGAAAACUACGAAUAUCUCGCCAGUCAUUUGCUGCUCAUCAACCAAAAAUAAAUCAAAUAAACUCCAAAAUGUGGUGACUAUAUCUGUUAGAUAAAUGGUUCACUUUCUAGUAUAUAGCUUUUUUAAUAAUUCCAAUGGACAUUAGGGGUGGAUCUAGACCAGGAUCUGGGUGGUGCACCGGUAUGUUUAACUUAAAGCGGAGGAAAAUUCGCGGGUUUACGUUCUUAUACAGUUUUUACUGAUAUUUAAUCAUAAUUAUCUCCUGCUUAAAAUGUGCGUUUUUGCACAUUAGACCGUUCUUUUUUAGUCUCAUUUACAGUAUUUCGAUAGAGCAUCAUACUUCACACUUACCGAGAAAGGUCUUGAUGGUAGCCGCCCUAAAUGGACGGCUAUUUUCACCAAAAAGAAUAGCCGUGUCCUUCUCUUGUAUGGCGAAUUUUUCCAUCUGAAUGAGACGGAGUUCAUAUAGACGAGCUGUGCUCUCUACAUGAACUGCCGUCUCAUUCUUGGUGGCCAAGCGAGACCCUGCCGAUAUGUUCUCACUCUCCAACUCGCUGAGAUCCUCAGAGAGUCCCGCACUCUCAAUAUAACGCAGAACAUUACUGCUCCUCAUUUUGGGAGCCAUGUUAAAGCUUAGAUAAGAGCAGGGAAGUGGUUAGAGAAUUAAUGAGGAAUUUUCAACGGCGUGAUGUAAUGACGUAAUGCGAGCUGGGUCUCCUAUUGGCUGAAAAUGGUAUGAAUUCCGUAUGAAUCGUACGAACCAGAAACCUUCAAAUAAUCGUUCAAUGUUGAUCAUUGAAGGUUGAGAAGCUGAUCUUAUCCAAGUCCGUAUUUUAGUUGGUGUUUUUCACAUGUGAUCUUUUGCAUUUUCACCACCUGUAGUUGUUUUGCAAAGAGGCAACUCUUGUUAUCUUGAUGUCAGAUAAACUUCUCAGUUGCUCUCACAAUUUUCUUCGCAUGAAUUUUUAUUUUUUGUGUUAAGGAUUGAGUACAGCUUGGGGUAAUGACAAAAAAUAUUUCAUGACAGCCUAGACUCCCUCAAUCUAUUAUCACCGUAUUCACAAGAAAUGAUGGGGGUGCCUUUUCUUAGGUUGUUUCUUCUUGCUGCCUCAUGGUGAAAUCUUGAACACAUGAUUGAUGUUGUUAAGUGGGGUGUGGCCGGUCUCAUAAUGUCCAUGUGGACUUGGCUUGCUAGGUUGGAUAAACAUCAGACCAAAGGAAGAACUUGCAUGGGUCAGACAUUUUAAAACGGAAAAACAUCCUAACAGGGUUGCUCUUGGAUUGAAUAAUCCACGAGUUUUUUGUAGUCCCAUUUCGCUCUACCCAUCUUUUGAGACCUGGGGUAGACUGUCCCCAGGAACUUUUUGUGGUCUUAAAUGAACUCAAGUAGGAAGUUGCUGGAGGUGUUUCUACAUCAACACACCCACACAAAUGAAUAACAAAAGUAUAUGACAUAUAUUUCUCAAACAUACUUUUGCAUAUAUUUCAGUCUUGAAUAUGUCUCUUCUUUUCCUUUUUUUGGACAAUGUCCUCACAUAUCUCCAUGUUCACUCCAAUCUCAUCUUUCUCAGAUGAGCUUUUCUUAAUCGCCUGGUCAAGAAAAGUCUUAUUACCUUGUCAAACAAAGAACAGCCUCCCUGGAUUUGUCAGGCGUCUCACCACACUUGCUUAGGGGCACCCCAAAUUUUUUGGUAUCGCCUGCCCAUUUGACCAAACUUAUCGGCAUAUGUUCUUGGUGAAGUUUGAAGUUAAGGUAAAGUGGGCAAAGUAUUUCCACUAGAAUUGCAUUUGACGACCUCUCCCCACUCCUUGCCCUGAUCUUGACUAUAGAGCAUCCCAAUAAUAACAACUCAAUAAUAAGAAUCAUAAUGAUUGUUAAUAAUAAGGAAAAAAUAUAAAAAUAGUAGAAAUAUUAAUGAUAAUGAUAGUACUAUCAACAUUAAAGGGAUAAUUGGGGCCAAUAACAAUAUUACAACAGUACAUAAAUGAAUUCGGAAACAGAUAAAACUAUGGAAUUAGUAACUAUUCACCAACUUUUACUUGCUGAGAAUAGAUAAUAAACAUAA